AGAGAAAACUAUGAAGUUACUGCUAAUAAUUUCUUGUCGAUUUAAUUCCGACUUUCUCUU
rnacentral:tRNA from 1 species